CCAGAUUUUAGCUGAAGUAUUGCCUCCAAAUACAAGGCAGCUAGAUGAGUAUGGUACUUUUCCUUCUCUAUUUUUCUUUCCAAUACAAGAUGUUCUAGAUACUUAAUACGUGCUUUAGGAUAUUUGUUAAGGCAACUGAUGACAUCAUCUGGAUUCAUGUUGUUUUUCUCUUGUUCUUCCAAAGGUCUUUUAGUAAAAAUCUGCACUCCAACCUCUUCAUUUUUUUGUAAAACCCAUUCAGAGUAUUUCCACACCAGAUCCUGGUCCGAGCAGAAUGUCAGGAAGUCUACUACGUAUUCGUAGAGAUCUGAACGUGUAGAGUCUUCAAUGUCCCCAUCAACUAUUUGCACCCAUAACUGAAGUGCUGCAGCAUCUUGACCAUUGUAGU
rnacentral:lncRNA from 1 species